UGAUGACUUUAUUUGUACUAUAUAUUUUUUGUAUUAAGCCAAUCAUUUUAACAUAGCAAAACAAUUCAUAGCUGACAAAAUCUUAUGCUGCAUGUUCUGCCCAACCGUAGUCAUAUCGUCCUGUGGGUCCAGGCGGAUUCUGUGAGGAGGCAUUGGUAGUACGGCAUCGUCGGGGUUUUUUGCUUUCCCACAUACGUCUCCACAACGGUUGCCCUUAUGUCCUUGGGCGACUCGGACCACUCCGAUUAGCACAGAGCAAAAAAUUUUUGCCUAGUAUCGAGCUUCUGUUUGGUUUAAGAACUUCUACGGAUCAAAAACAUGUGGGCCUUGUGGAUCGUGUUCUCCCAUGUGCUGUGGAGGCUUCUGUAGUGGCUGUCACUGAGUAAUAACGACAAUCGACAGGAUCUAUGCCUUCCAUCAACGCUCUGGUGACAACUGCAGAAAGCUAGAACUCAAAGCUGCCUCAAAAAAAUAGCUUUAGGCUAGUUCUAUGAUAGUUUUAAAAAUAAACCAUUUAAAAAUAAAACAAUUUCGAAUA